AUGAAGGGCCUCAUAGUUCGGCUGUGGCCCAAAGAAGCCAUGCCUGGGAGCUACUUCGGUCUGGUGCGGCGGCUGGUGGACGCCUGUCCAUGGGUUGACGUCAUCAAGCAUUCCGCCUGCAUUGAAGGUGCCCGUCGGGCCCUUGCCCGCGCUAAGGUGCACGGGGGCAAGAUGGAUGCCGAGAAGCUUGUGACGGACGCGCCACCGCCAGGCAAGGAGUAUCGCACGCCCGAGAUGUAUUAUAAGGUUGUCCUGAAGGGUGCCGGCCUUAUUGCGGGUGAAUGCUCCAAACAUUUAAUUUUUGAGUAG
rnacentral:rRNA from 1 species